AAUAUUUCACAAUGGGCGAAAGCCUGAUUCAGCAACGCCUCGGGAGCGAUGAAGGCCUUCCGGUCGUCAAGCUCUUUGAUCAGGGAUGAUAAUGACAGUACCUGAAAAACACGCCUCGGCCAACUACGUGCCAGCAGCCGCGGUAAUACGUAGGUGGCGAGCGUUGUCCGGAAUUACUGGGCGUAAAGGAUGCGUAGGUGGAUACUUAAGUGGGAUGUGAAAUCCCCGGGCUCAACCCGGGAACUGCAUUUCAAACUGGGUAUCUAGAGUGCAGGAGAGGAAAGCGGAAUUCCUAGUGUAGCGGUGAAAUGCGUAGAUAUUAGGAGGAACACCAGUGGCGAAGGCGGCUUUCUGGACUGUAACUGACACUGAGGCAUGAAAGCGUGGGUAGCAAACAGG
rnacentral:rRNA from 1 species